UACGUAGGGUGCAAGCGUUGCCCGGAUUUAUUGGGCGUAAAGGGCGCGUAGGCGGCUCUGCACGUCCGUUGUGAAAUCGCCCGGCUCAACUGGGCGGGGUCAGCGGAUACGGCGGAGCUUGAGCAAGCUAGGGGGCAAUGGAAUUCCCGGUGUAGUGGUGGAAUGCGUAGAUAUCGGGAGGAACACCAGUGGCGAAGGCGGUUGCCUGGGGCUUGCUGACGCUGAUGCGCGAAAGCGUGGGGAGCGAACAGG
rnacentral:rRNA from 1 species